rnacentral:rRNA from 1 species
AUGGCCUUGCCUAUUCAUCUGAUGGCUGUGCUUCCCAUGCCGGCAUGGGCCAUUAAGAUCAUUAACAGGCGAUGUCGAGGGUUUAUAUGGAAAGGGGAGGAGGAGAUCAAUGGUGGCCGUUGUCUGAUGCCUUGGUCUAGAGUUUGUUUGCCUCUCGAGGUGGGAGGGCUCGGUAUUAUUAACUUGAAGUGGUUCGGCUUCGCUCUAAGAUGCAAGUGGCCUUGGUUACAUUGGGACUCCGAAGAGAGACCGUGGCAGCUGAUCCAAGAUGCAACGGAGAAGGAGGUGCAGGCCAUGUUCUCCGCGGCCUGUCACAUCAGCUUGGGUGACGGCGAGUCCGCGAGGUUCUGGACGGAUGACUGGCUCCCUGAUGGCCACAGGGCCUGGAUCAGCGACAUAUCUGGAGGUUUGUCUCUCAUGGCCAUGGGCCAAUACCUGAGGGUCUGGGAUCUUAUUCAAGACACUUCAUUAACCAGGGGAACGAGGGAUCGGCCGAUUUGGAAAUUGACACAUGACCUGCAGUUUUCGGUGAAGAGUGCAUAUCAGAUGUUCUUCUUAGGGAACACUCGGUUUGCUUGUUAUAAGCCAAUCUGGAAAUCCAAAGCGCCGCCACGCUGCAAGUUUUUUAUGUGGCUUGUUGUUCAUAGAAGGUGUCUGACGGCUGAUAAUUUAGAAAGAAGGAACUGGCCAUCCAACGGAGUUUGCCCCCUGUGUUCCUCUGAACCUGAAACUUGCUCGCACUUAUUUGUUCACUGCAGUUUCAGUAUUCAGGUUUGGGCGAGGUUCAGCGAUUGGGCACGAGCUGAUUUUCAGACUCCUGAUCUCAACUUCAGCACCACGGAAGACUGGUGGUUGAAGGCUAGGGCGGGGAUCCCCAAGCAAAUGAGGCGUAAUUUUGACACUAUGGCCAUCCUUCAUUGGAGGAUCUGAAAGGAAAGAAAUGCAAGGAUCUUCGACAAUGCGGCGAGCACUCCUGACAGGGUUCGAGACCUGUUCUUGGAAGAUAUACACAUAUGGAGAUCAGCCGGCUGUAUCAGCGACUUGGCGACAUAA